AGUGUGACAGUGGCGAGGAAAAACUCCUUUUAGGAAGAAACCUCGGUGAUGAGAAAAAAUUCCUUUUAGGGAAAAACCUCGGACAGACCCAGGCUCUUGGUAGGCACUGUCUGACGGUGCCAAAAGUUAUAAAAUUAUUUAUUUAUUAUUUAACUUUUGGUCAGGUCCAUCUGGAGAUGCUGCGUACCAGGUUUCGUGAAGAUCGGUCGCAUGGCCUAGGAGUUCAAAAAAGUUAGUUUUUCACAUUUAUUAUUAUAUUGCGAUAUUGCGAAAAAACUUCUUAGCAGAAAUGGGCAUGGCCUAUAUAAUCAGAUUCAGCUAGAUUCAAGGAACACGUGGAUGUAAGGGUUUCUAAUGUGCGAUGUGUAAUGUGGGAGUUAUAGGCAAAAACACGUUUGACGUCAUUAUAGAGCCACCUAGUGGUCCAUAUGUGUAAUUUUUGGUAUGUGAGGUCCAUGAACCAUUGUACAUCAACAAAUAUAAAUUUGAAGUUGCUCACAUUAGUCUAAAGCCUUAUUCGCACGGGAUAAGUAUUAUCUAGGGACCUCGUGUGAAUUAUAAAUUACCCACCCACGUCUGAUUUUCAUCUGGCGCAUUCGAACGGAAUAAGCGAAGCCUGUGAUUUUACUCGAAUGUACUGACAUUAAGCAACAGUGGGACAUUAAGAAACAUGGGUGUCGGUAGCUCUGCUACGUGUGUUUGUGUGUGGUCAGAUCUCGAGGACACACACGUGCACAAUCUCAACCGGGUAGUCAGUCAUCGUCCGAACUGCGACCUCUCCUUUUUCUUUCUCUCACUUUUUUCUCCGGAUGGUGUCAAGCAGGGUCCGGUUAGAUGGAUAAAACAAAACAUUUCACCACGUUAAAAUCUAUUAGCUCAAGCUUUACGCUUGAUUUAUUUGUAACAUUAACCUCUAAUUAUGAAGUGAGCCCCCUCGCUUGAUUGUGCAUUAUUUUUGAUAAGCUAUUGCUUGGAGAUGUCUUGUCGUUAUCUCUAGAUGUAUGAUACAAACAUAAAAAAUAUACUUACCGCAUGCUGCUAUACAUAUCAUCCAUCGCCAUCUAAUCAUUCUUUUUGUCUUCACACUUGUGGUGGUUUUCAUCUUUCUCUUUUUGCAAAAGUGUAUAUGAUGUAUAUGACGACAUGACCCAGCACCCAAAACACUGUCAAAACACUCCAACGCACCCUCCAUUCUUCGCGAAAGAUGGAUAAAAAGGCGCAAAAGAAGGAAAUAGGUACCUUGAAAAAACCAAAAAGCCCCGCCAAAUCCUGGACAAAUCAGAGAUGCCGAUUCGCACGGGACUAAUAUUAUCACAGGACCUCCGUUUUCGGCGAAAUAUGGUAGGUCAUUUGCGGGGGAAUUAUUACUUUACAAAUUACAGACAUGACCGAUUCGCACGGGAUUAAGAUCACAGACAACCUCCGCAAUUAUUACAAAUGACUGGAGGUCACCAGGUAAUACUUAUAGGUGGAAGAGGUGAAAAAGAGGGGGCAGGACGUUAAAUGGCAUACUAAAGAAAAAGUUGCAUUUAACCGGGCACAGGCCAGGAAAACUGGUGCAGGUCUCCCAGAAGUAUGCAAAUUGACCACAAUUGAAGAGGUUGUGCAGCAAACGCUGGUUGCUGAACAGGUGGAAGGAAUCGAUACUGCGGAGACCACAUUAGAAAAUUAAGCAAGCACAUCUUCAAAUGUUGGUGCUACUGCACCGACAUUCUUUGAACCUUCUACCUCGUCUCUACCGCCUGCGACCGCACGUAGGAUGAACAUGGUGGAUGACCUGGAUGAAAUGCUCUUAACUGAGCAAAGGAGCCAAACGAGGGUGCUACAAAAGAUUUCGUCGGAUGUGCAGCAGAUGCAUGGGCAUUUCCAUCAGGGCUAUGAGGCGCAACAGUCAGCAGGCAUGACCGGAACCACCAACCUUGUGCCACCCAGCCCUGUGCCAUCCCGACCUGGGCCACCCAGACCUGUCCCAUCUCCAACUGUACCGACGCGUAGUCUCAGAAAAACAAAAAUGAAGUCUGAACAAACAGUGAGAUAAACCAGCUGCCAGAGGGAGAUAAUAAAUAUCAAACAUUUGGAAAACGCAAUUGUUUCUAUCUGGGUUAUUUGUGUAAUAUUUUUCUCCAU